rnacentral:rRNA from 1 species
AUUGAACGCUGGCGGCAUGCUUUACACAUGCAAGUCGAACGGUAACAGGCCUUCGGGCGCUGACGAGUGGCGAACGGGUGAGUAAUGCAUCGGAACGUGCCCAGUCGUGGGGGAUAACUAUCCGAAAGGAUAGCUAAUACCGCAUACGAUCUGCGGAUGAAAGCGGGGGACCUUCGGGCCUCGCGCGAUUGGAGCGGCCGAUGUCAGAUUAGGUAGUUGGUGGGGUAAAGGCUCACCAAGCCAACGAUCUGUAGAUGGUCUGAGAGGACGACCAGCCACACUGGGACUGAGACACGGCCCAGACUCCUACGGGAGGCAGCAGUGGGGAAUUUUGGACAAUGGGCGCAAGCCUGAUCCAGCAAUGCCGCGUGCAGGAAGAAGGCCUUCGGGUUGUAAGCUGCUUUUGUACGGAACGAAACGGCUCUGGUUAAUACCCGGGGCUAAUGACGGUACCGUAAGAAUAAGCACCGGCUAACUACGUGCCAGCCGCCGCAGUAACAC